UAAAACGUAUUGAAACUGUAU
rnacentral:piRNA from 1 species